GAGAAGGAAAUGGCAACCCACUCCAGUGUUCUUGCCUGGAGAAUCCCAGGGAUGGGGGAGGCUGUUGGGCUGCCGUCUAUGGGGUCGCAGAGUCGGACACAACUGAAGUGAUUUAGCAGCAGCAAACAUACGUAGACCAUCCCUGGAAAGCUCCAGGAGAAACAGCUCAGGAGACCGGCCUCGGCUCACCUUUCGGGCCCCACACCGCUUAACGACUCGCACGGUGUUUCCCGUGCACGAAACCGUCAGGCAGGGAAGGGCCUGUGUCUGGGGAGCGGCGGGGGUUCGCCCCAGGUCACCCGCCAGGGCGCUUUCGCGGAAGAGUGAGAGCCAGGCGUUGCCAGGCUGCUCCCCGCGCCUCACAGACACCGGGAGCUGAAGAAACUUGAGAGGCAUCUAUGCCCCUCGCCGUAGCGACUCAGAUCGCAGAGGG
ensembl:lncRNA